GCACAAGCGGUGGAUGAUGUGGUUAAUUCGAUGCAACGCGAAAACCUUACCCACCUUGACAUGUACGGAAGUUGCCAGAGAUAGCUUCGUGCUCGAAAGAGAGCCGUAACACAGGUGCUGCAUGGCUGUCGUCAGCUCGUGUCGUGAGAUGUUGGGUUAAGUCCCGCAACGAGCGCAACCCUUGUCAUUAGUUGCUACGAAAGGGCACUCUAAUGAGACUGCCGGUGACAAACCGGAGGAAGGUGGGGAUGACGUCAAGUCCUCAUGGCCCUUAUAGGUGGGGCUACACACGUCAUACAAUGGCUGGUACAAAGGGUUGCCAACCCGCGAGGGGGAGCCAAUCCCAUAAAGCCAGUCGUAGUCCGGAUCGCAGUCUGCAACUCGACUGCGUGAAGUCGGAAUCGCUAGUAAUCGUGGAUCAGCAUGUCACGGUGAAUACGUUCCCGGGUCUU
rnacentral:rRNA from 1 species